UCCCUCCUAGUGUAUUUUCCAGCUUCUUGGCCAUUCUCCUCCGCAACUUCGUCUUCUAUUUUCCGACCUUUGUCCAGGUGCCCUUUUUUAGCUCUUUCUUCUUUGCUUUUCACCCUGAAACAUCUAAUCAUAUUGGUUAGAGGAAACGACAUCAAAAGACUCCAAAAUUCCAGUUCCGACUAGGAAAGUGCUCUCAAACUUAGCUAUAUAUAUGGGAUAAAUUGGUUAUUAGGCGCAUAAAUACGCCUAAGAUCAUUAUGAAAGCUAAAUGUCUUGUAUAGAGUCCUUCGGGGUUCUAUACGCCAUGUUACAUCUAGGGGGUAUCCCUAGGUCGUGACAUGUUAUUAAACAUUUAGUAUGUUUUAUACAUUCAGACUAGUUGGGGUUUUCCCCAUUUUCAGUUAUCUAUUGUUUUAGCUUCCGCAUAGUACAUGUUUUAUUCAGUUAUUCUGAGUAUGCUUGAUAUAUGGCAGACACAGGGUUAGCUUGGGGUCAUUCGUGAUCCUAGGUCCCGUGUUACGUCAAGGGGGUAGCCUCGGGGAAUGACACAACAUAUCAUUUAUGAGGUGUUAAACCCAAACAAACCCAAGCAUUGUUGCCCAACACCACAGAUAGGCAAUGACUAAUUUAUAUGAAACCAAAUAUAAACAAGAAGUAGACCAAAAUCUCUAGAGGUCAACCAACUAGCUAUAGCCAAUAACAACAAAGAGAAACUACACAAUCAGACAACAAAUGAAAUUUAUCAAAAUAAAUAAUAGCUAAAUCAGUCUGUAAAUCAACUAUAUCGACUAAACAAAAUAAAGAGAAACAAGUCAAGCUUAGGAGAGGGAUCAAACCUUUUGUUGACCACAUCGAAGCUGGGACGAUGAGUUGAAUCUAGUUAUUCCUCCACCACAAGUGGAAUUCUAACAAGAGCUCAAAUCCAGCAACAAAAGACUAAAACCUCCAAGCCAUAGGAAUAUUAUUUUCUUUAAUUUUCAUUUAUAUUGCCUGUAUAUUUUUUUGUAAAUAUCUGUUCAUGUUUCUUGUCUCUCCAACCUCUUUCUUUGGAUGGGAAUCCCCUCUGUUUUGGGUAGUAAAUUAGUGUGCCAAAAACCUCUUCAAAAUGCUAAAGGAAGGGAAUUCGAAAUUCAAACUCUUGUGUUGGCUCGAUUUCGUACCAAUUCUUAACAGAAUUGAAAGAAAGGUCAGUAGAUUUUGACACUUGGAAGAUUCUCGUAACGAUCUUCUACGAGGACGACACGGCUGGGAUUAGAGGACACUGGGUUCGCUGGAUUUUUAAGUGGGUAAUUUAGGACCUAAAAGCUUUAGCAUUGUUCAAUUUUAUUUUAUUUUUACAUAAAGCAGGGAUUACAUUAUUAUUUUUAUAUGAAGCAGGGAAGAAAGAUAGCAAAAGAACAGAAUAUAUUUUUAUUUUAUUGAUCAUAUAUAUUAAGCUUUGUGAAACUUGAGUAGAAAAUGAGACAUACAUGUCAAGCUGGAAUUAGUGGUUAGUUGCAUAUUUGUACGAGAAUUGUUGAUAGCCAAAAGAAAAUAAACCUACAGAAAUCAAGGAUUACUAUGAAGAUACAUCAAAUUGUGCCAGGAGUUCAACAAUCAGGAGAAUACAUUAUGAUAUAUGUUAGAGUUCAUUUCUUACUAUUUCUCAGUAUGAGAUACCAAAAUAUCCAUAGAGCAAGUCUUCCCUAGAAGUCCUCCCUCAUUUAUCCCGGUAAACUCCAAUGAAUCCUA
rnacentral:lncRNA from 1 species